AAAUUGAAGAGUUUGAUCAUGGCUCAGAUUGAACGCUGGCGGCAGGCCUAACACAUGCAAGUCGAACGGUAACAGGAAGCAGCUUGCUGCUUUGCUGACGAGUGGCGGACGGGUGAGUAAUGUCUGGGAAACUGCCCGAUGGAGGGGGAUAACUACUGGAAACGGUAGCUAAUACCGCAUAACGUCGCAAGACCAAAGAGGGGGACCUUAGGGCCUCUUGCCAUCGGAUGUGCCCAGAUGGGAUUAGCUAGUAGGUGGGGUAAUGGCUCACCUAGGCGACGAUCCCUAGCUGGUCUGAGAGGAUGACCAGCCACACUGGAACUGAGACACGGUCCAGACUCCUACGGGAGGCAGCAGUGGGGAAUAUUGCACAAUGGGCGCAAGCCUGAUGCAGCCAUGCCGCGUGUAUGAAG
rnacentral:rRNA from 1 species